rnacentral:rRNA from 1 species
CGCGACUGAAAAUAAAAGCAAGUUGGCAUUAAAUCGCAAGUCGGCACCUGUAUUGCCGGCCACACUUUCGAAUUGCGGGGACGUCCUAAAGCUCACCUUCACCAAACCGGCAUGGAAACCUGACCGGUGGCCAGUGUUAACCGCACUGGGUACGGUAAGAGCGAGGUGAGAUUUUGCAAUGGGCAAUCCGCAGCCAAAUCCCUAAGGCGGUUUCGCUAAGGGAAAGGUUCACAGACUAAGUGGAAGUGGGUUGGACAGAACGGUCCAGCUUAAGAUAUAGUCGGUCCCCUCAGGAAACCGAGGGGGAGUCACAAAACUCAAGUAACAAAAACGUUCCGUAGGUGAACCUGCGGAAGGAUCAUUAACAAUCCUAAAGCUUUAGCUUCUCAGUUGGGUCAAACCUCCUGUUCUGCUAUUCUACCCAUUGUGAACCAAAAAAACCAUUCGCUUCGGCAGCAGGCCGGUUGGGUUCCGACCCUUCUGAGCCGUCAGCCUGCCGGCAGCACCCAACCAAACUUGUUUUUAUGAACCGGUCUUGACAUAAUCAUUAUUGAAUGAAAAUUAAAACUUUCAACAACGGAUCUCUUGGUUCCCGCAUCGAUGAAGAACGCAGCGAAACGCGAUAGUUAAUGUGAAUUGCAGAAUUCAGUGAAUCAUCGAGUCUUUGAACGCACAUUGCGCCCGUUGGUAUUCCGACGGGCAUGCUUGUUUGAGCGUCAUUGCAACCCCUUCGGCGGCAGCUUUUUCGGUUGCAAGUCGGUUUUGGGCCGCGCAUGAUGUCAGCUCCGGCUGACGCUGCCGGCUUUAAAGUUGCACGCUCUGCGGGUCGACUGCCUGAACAAACAUAGUAGAAUCGAACUGUUUGCUGACGGCUUGGUUGGCUCCGCCUGAACAAAAACCCAUCUUAUGGUUUGACCUCAGAUCAAGUAAGGAUACCCGCUGAACUUAAGCAUAUCAAUAAGCGGAGGAAAAGAAACCAACAGGGAUUGCCUCAGUAACGGCGAGUGAAGCGGCAACAGCUCAAAUUUGAAAUCUGAAGUCUUUGUCUUCCGAGUUGUAAUUUGAAGAGGAUGCUUCGAGGUUGGCCACGGUCCAAGUUCCUUGGAACAGGAUGUCAUAGAGGGUGAGAGUCCCGUCUCUGGCUGAUGGCUUUUCUUCAUGUGUAGCUCCUUCGAAGAGUCGAGUUGUUUGGGAAUGCAGCUCAAAAUGGGUGGUAAAUUUCAUCUAAAGCUAAAUAUUGGCGGGAGACCGAUAGCGCACAAGUAGAGUGAUCGAAAGAUGAAAAGCACUUUGAAAAGAGAGUUAAACAGUACGUGAAAUUGUUGAAAGGGAAGCGCUUGCAAUCAGAUCUGCUUUGGGUUGAUCAACGUUCCUUCUGGUUCGUGCACUCUGCCUUUUGCAGGCCAGCAUCGGUUGGAGCGGCGGGACAAAGACUGCGGGAAUGUGGCUCCCUCGGGAGUGUUAUAGCCCGCUGUGCAAUGC